rnacentral:rRNA from 1 species
GUGGGGAAUCUUGCGCAAUGGGCGAAAGCCUGACGCAGCCAUGCCGCGUGAAUGAUGAAGGUCUUAGGAUUGUAAAAUUCUUUCACCGGGGACGAUAAUGACGGUACCCGGAGAAGAAGCUCCGGCUAACUUCGUGCCAGCAGCCGCGGUAAUACGAAGGGGGCUAGCGUUGCUCGGAAUUACUGGGCGUAAAGGGCGCGUAGGCGGACAGCUUAGUCAGAGGUGAAAGCCCAGGGCUCAACCUUGGAAGUGCCUUUGAUACUGUGUGUCUUGAGUUUGGGAGAGGUGAGUGGAACUCCGAGUGUAGAGGUGAAAUUCGUAGAUAUUCGGAAGAACACCAGUGGCGAAGGCGACUCACUGGCCCAAUACUGACGCUGAGGCGCGAAAGCGUGGGGAGCAAACAGGAUUAGAUACCCGGGUAGUCC